GAUGAACGCUGGCGGCGUGCCUAAUACAUGCAAGUCGAGCGAACAGAUGAGGAGCUUGCUCCUCUGACGUUAGCGGCGGACGGGUGAGUAACACGUGGAUAACCUACCUUUAAGACUGGGAUAACUUCGGGAAACCGGAGCUAAUACCGGAUAAUAUAUUGAACCGCAUGGUUCAAUAGUGAAAGACGGUUUUGCUGUCACUUAUAGAUGGAUCCGCGCCGCAUUAGCUAGUUGGUAAGGUAACGGCUUACCAAGGCAACGAUGCGUAGCCGACCUGAGAGGGUGAUCGGCCACACUGGAACUGAGACACGGUCCAGACUCCUACGGGAGGCAGCAGUAGGGAAUCUUCCGCAAUGGGCGAAAGCCUGACGGAGCAACGCCGCGUGAGUGAUGAAGGUCUUCGGAUCGUAAAACUCUGUUAUUGGGGAAGAACAAAUGUGUAAGUAACUAUGCACGUCUUGACGGUACCUAAUCAGAAAGCCACGGCUAACUACGUG
rnacentral:rRNA from 1 species